GCAAGUAUAGCUGAGUGGUAGAGCGCAUACUUAGAAUGAAUGAGGUUCUGGAUUCAAUCCCCAGUUUCUCCA
rnacentral:tRNA from 1 species